AACGAACGCUGGCGGCAGGCUUAACACAUGCAAGUCGAGCGCCCCGCAAGGGGAGCGGCAGACGGGUGAGUAACGCGUGGGAAUCUACCCAUCUCUACGGAAUAACGCAUGGAAACGUGUGCUAAUACCGUAUACGUCCUUCGGGAGAAAGAUUUAUCGGGGAUGGAUGAGCCCGCGUUGGAUUAGCUAGUUGGUGGGGUAAAGGCCUACCAAGGCGACGAUCCAUAGCUGGUCUGAGAGGAUGAUCAGCCACACUGGGACUGAGACACGGCCCAGACUCCUACGGGAGGCAGCAGCGGGGAAUAUUGGACAAUGGGCGCAAGCCUGAUCCAGCCAUGCCGCGUGAGUGAUGAAGGCCCUAGGGUUGUAAAGCUCUUUCACCGGUGAAGAUAAUGACGGUAACCGGAGAAGAAGCCCCGGCUAACUUCGUGCCAGCCGCCGCUGUAAAAC
rnacentral:rRNA from 1 species